CUCUUAAAAGAAUAUUUUGGAGAAACGGACAAUACGAGACCGGCGGCCUCCUCGCACAACGACUGUUCGUCGACGUUCAUCGGCGACCUUGUCUGAACUAUUUCGCCGGUCCGAAGGGUCACUCUGUCACUCGUCGACGAUGGCGGACGAUUCAACUAACUCCUUUGCUUCGUCCUCAGAAGAUCGAUUAAAAGCCCUAAUUUCUUGUCCUUCCGCGAGUGCUAAAUUCGGUAACGAAGAGGAAUUUCUUGAAGGUGGAUUUGAAGAAAGUCACCUGCUGAUUGAUGAUAAUCCUUCUUCUAUCUGUGUAAUUUGCUUUUCGGAAGAUGGAAAAGCGGAGAGAGGCAAGCUUGAUUCCUGUGAUCAUUAUUUUUGCUUCGUCUGCAUUAUGGAGUGGGCGAGGAUUGAAUCUAGAUGCCCUGCUUGUAAGGGAAGGUUCACUGUUGUUCAUAGAAUUGCGAAGGAUCCUUGUCGACUCCGUGAACGAAUUGUUAAUAUUCCUAUGCGGAAUCAGGACCAGUCUGCUUCUGGAAGUGCUAGAAUUGGGGAUCCAUAUGCAGAGACGUGUUGUACUGUGUGCAAGGGAAUGGAAGAUGAAGGUCUCAUGUUACUCUGUGAUCUCUGUGAUUCAGCUGCUCAUACUUUUUGUGUCGGCCUUGGUGCUAAUGUACCCGAAGGUGAUUGGUAUUGCCAUGACUGCACCAUCGCCAGAGCUCAACAUACUGAUACUGAAUUAGAUACUAGUUUCAUCAAACAAAAUCAAACAACUACAGUUGAACCACGCAUUGCUAUUUCUGAUAUAGUAAAAGAAUCAAGUGCUCAAACAGUUAGCAUAACUCGUAGAGGAGCUCUUUUACAUUCCAAUCGUGAACCACCUUCUAUUGUCCCCAGUUCGAGAAGAAGUGUGGCCCAGAAAUCAUUGCCUAGUCGAGGAGGUAAAGCUGCGGGAACAAGUGCAAGAACAUUACAUCGAUGUCGCAACAUCCAUAGCUAUAUAAGGGCAUUACGUGAUAAUUGGGAUGCUGUACGAAAGGGUUCGCUGAGGUUUCCUGCUAGCAGCUCAUCCACAUAUUGUGGCAACAGUUCCAAACGAGAUACUGGUGGUGCUGAACUAAUAAACAAGCAAACAAAUCAACCUCAUGCCAUUAGCUUGCAGGCAACCACAUUACCUGAGUCUAAUGGAAACUCUUGUGAUGUCGAGAAGGCAUGGCGAAUGAUGGAAAUUGCAAAGGCCAAAUCUAUACGUGAGGGAGAUCAAACCUUGAGACAUCCUGUUAGUAGACAAAUAACCACAAAAACAAAAGAUUCUCACACAGCUAAAGGUCAACAGUACAAAAUCAAGAAGCCGGAUGAGCCAGCCAAGCAUAAGAAGGAAAUGGGAAAACAAAGAUUGCUCGAGUUGGAUAAGCAAUUGUGUCGUCCUGUAGCAAGUAAGAAGAAUAAAGCUUCUGAUGAGUUUUUUCCUACCCAUUCAUCCAGUAAUGGAGAAUUUCCCUUGGGUAAAAUGGUCCAGACUGGCGGAGGUGAUUUCCACUGUGAAAAUAGAAGAAAGCCAUCAAACAAAAUAGUGGAUGAAGUUUCAUCAUCCUCCACAAUGACACAAGCCUCGGAUAAACACCAUUCUGCUCGUGAGGCUGGCAGUGAUCACGAUGGCAAAAGUGAGAUACGAACACUGGUCAAAAUCAAUCUAAAACUCCUAAGCCAAGGCAAAAAUUUGGGAUAUGAAAGGUACAAAGAAGUGACAAGGCUAGCAACACACACAAUCAUGGCAAGAUGUGGUUUAGAACCCCCACCAAAACCAACAAAACAAUACGUAUCGUCCUCGGUUUGCAAACACACAGAAGAAGAAAUCCGGAAGCUUCACAGGUCGACUCUAAUGCCGGAUUCUUGCAGGAAAUGCUUCAUGUGGUUUGUGAAAGAUGUUGUUAAUGCCAUUAUGUUAGAAAAACUAACGGUGGGUUCAACUUCAUAGGCUGUAAAGAAACUAACAAAUAAUGUGGAUUAUUAUCAUUAUUAUCCGUAAGAGUUAGGAGAGGAGGACAAAAUAGAGAAGCCAAAGAGUUGAAGAAGUAGAAGAAGAAGAUGCGGGGACCAAACUGGAAGGGGUUGAUGUGAAAGUGCUUUUGUGGACGCUCUGUGAAAGCACUCAGAAAAGCGCUUAUGACAAAAUCACGUGACUUUGAAGAACGUCAGCAGAAGAUGGACAUGGACAUGGACGUGGACAUCGUCUUUUAGGACCCACAACACACGUGGAGAGGUGUCAGGAGAGGAGCACGUGGGGGGGGGAGGAGGCAGGGAGGGAUGGGGACACACGUGACAAAACUGCCUUAUCACGUGCUUUGAAACUGAACUACCAUUUCCGUGUUGGGUGCUGUCACUUCAUCAUUCGUCACAGCCCUAAUACCCCUAUCACUUCUCCACACAUUUCUUUUUAUAUAACUAUCAAUUAUUUAUUUAUUGAUUACCCCAUCAAACCAUUAAAGAAAAAAACAACUUUUCUCCAAACUAUAUUAAUUAAUUAUCCCUUUUCUUUUACUUUUCGUAUUAAUUCGAUUAUUUAUAUUGCCCUUUUAUUAAAUUAAAAUUACAUACGGACGGCAUCCAUAAGCAUGGGCAGCCAAAAUAUUAAAAAAAGAAAAAAGAAAAAAAGAAAGUGGGUCCCGAAAAUAGUGAGUUGGCCACGUGAGGAAGAGGGUGUGAAAAGGAUCACGUGCGUCUUGCGGAUUCUUCGCCGGUAACCCCUUUUAAAGUUUAGUAUUUGUUAACUGAUCCCUAAACGGAUCCCUUCAGAAUGUCCGUGUUUUAUGCUAUUCCCCCCUCCUUCCAUCUUUC